GGGGUUUUGGCCUAGUGGUAUGGCGUCUCGUUUGCAAUUUGCAACCGUUGAGUCGAGAAGAUCGGGGGUUCGAUCCCCCCAGACUCCA